ACGAACGCUGGCGGCAGGCCUAACACAUGCACGUCGCGCGGACCCUUCGGGGUUAGCGGCGGACGGGUGAGUAACGCGUGGGAAUAUGCCCUUCUCUACGGAAUAGUCCUGGGAAACUGGGGGUAAUACCGUAUACGCCCUUUGGGGGAAAGAUUUAUCGGGGAAGGAUUAGCCCGCGUUGGAUUAGGUAGUUGGUGGGGUAAUGGCCUACCAAGCCGACGAUCCAUAGCUGGUUUGAGAGGAUGAUCAGCCACACUGGGACUGAGACACGGCCCAGACUCCUACGGGAGGCAGCAGUGGGGAAUCUUAGACAAUGGGGGCAACCCUGAUCUAGCCAUGCCGCGUGAGUGAUGAAGGCCUUAGGGUUGUAAAGCUCUUUCAGCUGGGAAGAUAAUGACGGUACCAGCAGAAGAAGCCCCGGCUAACUCCGUG
rnacentral:rRNA from 1 species